rnacentral:rRNA from 1 species
ACUCAAAUGAAUUGACGGGGGCCCGCACAAGCAGCGGAGCGUGCGGUUUAAUUCGAUGGUACGCGAAGAACCUUACCCAGACUUGACAUGUACGUGGUACCGAUCCGAAAGGUGAGGGACCCGCAAGGGAGCGUACACAGGUGUUGCACGGCUGUCGUCAGCUCGUGUCGUGAGAUGUUGGGUUAAGUCCCGCAACGAGCGCAACCCUCGUGGCCUGUUGUAUCACUCAGGCCGGACUGCCGAGAGAAACUCGGAGGAAGGUGGGGAUGACGUCAAGUCAGCGUGGCCCUUACGUCUGGGGCUACACGCACGCUACAAUGACCGGUCACAGCGAGUUGCGACACCGCGAGGUGGAGCUAACCUCUGAAAACCGGCCUCAGUUCAGAUCGGAGGCUGAAACCCGCCUCCGUGAAGUCGGAGUUGCUAGUAACCGCAGGUCAGCACACUGCGGUGAAUAUGUUCCCGGGCCUUGUACACACCGCCCGU